UACGGGGGGGCAAGCGUUGUUCGGAAUUACUGGGCGUAAAGGGCUCGUAGGCGGCCAACUAAGUCAGACGUGAAAUCCCUCGGCUUAACCGAGGAACUGCGUCUGAUACUGGAUGGCUUGAAUCCGGGAGAGGGAUGUGGAAUUCCAGGUGUAGCGGUGAAAUGCGUAGAUAUCUGGAGGAACACCGGUGGCGAAGGCGGCAUCCUGGACCGGCAUUGACGCUGAGGAGCGAAAGCCAGGGGAGCAAACGGG
rnacentral:rRNA from 1 species